GACGAACGCUGGCGGCGCGCUUAACACAUGCAAGUCGAACGGAAAGGCCUGCUUUCCCUUGUGGAUUGCGGGUACUCGAGUGGCGAACGGGUGAGUAACACGUGAGUGAUCUGCCCCCAACUUGGGUAUAAGCCUGGGAAACUGGGUCUAAUUCCCGAUAGGACUGCAGGGUGGUGCCUGUGGUGGAAAACGAUUUUCUAGUGGUUGGGGAUGAGCUCGCGGCCUAUCAGCUUGUUGGUGGGGUAAUGGCCUACCAAGGCGGCGACGGGUAGCCGGCCUGAGAGGGGGGACGGCCACAUUGGGACUGAGAUACGGCCCAGACUCCUACGGGAGGCAGCAGUGGGGAAUAUUGCACAAUGGGCGGAAGCCUGAUGCAGCGACGCCGCGUGGGGGAUGACGGCCUUCGGGUUGUAAACUCCUUCCGACCGCGAGGAAGCCACCUGGUUGGAAGGGUGGUGACGGUAGUGGUAGAAGAAGCACCGGCUAACUACGUG
rnacentral:rRNA from 1 species